GGAUUGUGGCUCAGUGGUAGAGCACUUGCCUAACGCGUGUGAGGCACUGGGUUUGAUCCUCAGCACCA
rnacentral:tRNA from 1 species